ACUCCAUGGUUAGGGCAUAUUCACAACAACUCCUUAUAUCGCUCCCAAGCUUCAUGUAAACUUUCUCCAUCAAACAUAUGAAAAGAUGCUAUGUCUGCUCUU